rnacentral:misc_RNA from 1 species
GAUGAAGAACGUAGCGAAAUGCGAUAAGUAAUGUGAAUUGCAGAAUUCAGUGAAUCAUCGAAUCUUUGAACGCACAUUGCGCCCGCCAGUAUUCUGGCGGGCAUGCCUGUUCGAGCGUCAUUUCAACCCUCAGGCCCCCAGUGCCUGGUGUUGGGGAUCGGCCCAGCCUUCCUGUAAGGCCGCCGGCCCCGAAAUCUAGUGGCGGUCUCGCUGUAGUCCUCCUCUGCGUAGUAGCACAACCUCGCAGUUGGAACGCGGCGGUGGCCAUGCCGUUAAACACCCCACUUCUGAAAGUUGACCUCGGAUCAGGUAGGAAUACCCGAUGAACUUAAGCAUAUCAAUAAGCGGAGGA